rnacentral:rRNA from 1 species
GGGACGAACGCUGGCGGCGUGCUUAACACAUGCAAGUCGAGCGGAAAGGCCUUUCGGGGUACUCGAGCGGCGAACGGGUGAGUAACACGUGAGUAAUCUGCCCAUCGCUUCAGGAUAGCCAUCGGAAACGGUGAUUAAUACUGGAUAUGACAUUCCUUCGCAUGUUGGGGUGUGGAAAGUUUUUUUCGGCGGUGGAUGUGCUCGCGGCCUAUCAGCUUGUUGGUGGGGUAAUGGCCUACCAAGGCUUUGACGGGUAGCCGGCUGAGAGGGUGACCGGCCACACUGGGACUGAGACACGGCCCAGACUCCUACGGGAGCAGCAGUGGGGAAUAGUGGACAAGUGGGACGGAAGCCUGACUCCGAGACAACGGCCGCGUAGGAGGGAGUGGACGGUCCGUUCGGGUUACGUAAACCGUUCUUUCGUAGACACGAGAACGUAAGUUUUGUUCGUUUUUGGUAGUAAGGU